GGGGGUGCAACUCCCAUACAAAGGAAAAGAACAUUCAACUAGCGUCAUCUUUAGGAACCGGCGAGGUCAUUUUUGAAACGUUUUGGCCUUAAUGAACUAAUAAAUUCACUAGAUGGCAGAUACGAGUUCUGACUCAAUAAAAAAGGUUAGCGUACUUUGAAGCAGUGCUUCCACUUUUAGGGAAUUCUCCCUUUUUUAGGGAAAAAUAGCUGAUAUUUUGGAUGAUAAAGACAAUUUAAAAAAUACCAGGAUUUAGGAUAUUUCGGGGUAAAAAGCAAAGCCUAUACUAGUAACUGUUGUGAAUUUUAAAAUAAACGAUAAUUAAAGUAAAACAAUGAACAUUUUAUUUUAUGGAGAGAGAAUGACAUUAAGUCGAGUUGACAAGUAAAAGAAUAAAACAGAGUUGUGUAUAAAAACUAUAAAGAAGGUUUGAUUCAACAGUAACCCUCUAGUAAAGUAAAUCAUAGAUUAAGCCACUGCUUUUUUCUUAGGGAUUCCCCAGAAUCCCAAUAAGUAUAAUCCGCCAAACUUUUAUUUACCUAUUUUCGUUGAUGUCACCAGAACUUACUUGUAUUGUAAUAUACAAGUACUUCAUGUACCAUGAAAGAUUAUCAUAGUAAUUUCAUUUACGAAAACCUUGUAAUUGUCAUUUCACUUUUGCUAGCAGUUCCUUUAUCAAAGACUGAGGUGGAAAGAUUAUUCAGUGUUCUCAAAUGUAAAAAGAAAAGAAACAGGCUUUCUAAUGAAACCCUGAACGGCUUGCUUCAUAGAAAGUUUCCAACUUUGCCAGCAAGCAAUCGCUCAAUUUUAGAACCUAACAGUGUUAGGUUGCGUGCAGCAAAAGAAUAUAAAAGCAAUGCGUCGACUUCCUUGAAAAUUCUAAUCCUAUAGAUCUAUGAUCUUCUGGGGGCGUUUAUAUUAUAUAUACCUACAUUAAAUAAUAUGCUGUGGUUUAUUUUCUGUAUUUUAUUUAUGCUUUCUAUAUAAAGGAUUUAUUAAAGUUGUCUAGGAAAUUUUAGGGAAAAUUCAAAAGAAACUAGGGUAAAAUGUGUUAAAAAAAACGUAAGUGGAAACACUGCUUUGAAGUUUUCAAAAUUCCAGGGCCGUAAAACAAUCUCAAAAAAAAAAAAAGUUUUCAAAAUGUCGUAACGAUUUAAUUUUUUAAAUAGUUUUUUUUGGUCUUGGUGUGAGUUAUUUUACGUUGUAGUAUUAAUUUAGAGCAUCUUUUAGCUUUAUGAAAAUAUUACACGAUUAGACAUUGAGAAACUCCGUUUUGAAUUCUCUUUAGACAUAACUUGGCUCCAAUACUUUUUUCUUCGUUAGCGUUUCGUAAGCCUGUGUAACUAUUUUCAUUUCUUACAGAAAGUUUAUUAUUAAAAAUCAGCAUGCCUCGAAGAACGAAAAUGAAAUGCUAUUUCGGAUGCCUUGAUAACGGUGAGUUUACACUAUUUUCCCGGUAUAUUAUUUGCUAACAGAAUUAUUAUUCAUAAUAUAAUUAAAUGAAUUAGCACCAACUAAUGGUCCUUCCUAUUUCUGCUGCCUAGCUAUCACAUAUGUUAAGUUUGAUCAAAACAGUCGGUAUUAAGUCUCGUACUAUCACACACACACCUCAGAUAAUAAAAUUGUCUCGAGUGGGUGGAAGUAUUUAUGUUUUGCAACUCAGCGUAUUAUAUGCUUAUUGUCAAGUGGGCCCGAACUAGUUUUUUGGAAUGAUCAAUCAGUCAUGCUUUCCUGUUUAAAUAAAAUACAGCACAAUUGAUCUCACAUCCAAAGUUAGAUGAUGGCAUUCACGUUUUGUUUCCUGGUGUUUGAUAACCAAGUUACACCAAGUGGCCUGUGACCACGUUCAUCCUUCUACCCAAUAUAAAAUAAUGUUUUUAUUUUUGUAGACAAAGGUUUGAUAAUGACAAAAUUUUAUGGAAAAAUUAUAAGGAGCACUAAAAUGUCUGAAACAUGAAAAUAUUGAUGCACUAUAUUUGAACCAGAACGUGUUAUGUAAUAUUAAUUUAAGAGAAACUGAUUCAGCAAGGAAUGUGAACUCUCAAGGGAUCUUAAUUUUUUUUAAAUAUGUUUAUAAUUUAUAAAUUAAUAAUUGAAAUAGUUCAUAAGAACUAAAUUGAUGCCAAUUUUGUUUUAAAAUAGGUUGUUUAGUUCUUAUAGUUAUAGUAUUACGUUUGAAUAGUUGUAAUUAGUAAGUUAGUAAUGUAUGAAAAUACUGAUAUAAAUUUUUGUAAAUAACCUUUUGUAAAUUCUACGAGAUGAUUUUAAUUAAUGAUCAAAAGUCAACGGUCUUCAAAAGCAUUAUUUGAGUCGACUAUUAUCAAAGGCGGCAAUCUGACAUUUGGACAAUGAUUGGUAAAUCAGAAAAACGAAUUAUUAACUUUGUAUUCCAUUGGCAGUCACAAAACUCUUCGGAACGACAUCUUAGAUAAAUAACAGGUUAACUAUUAACCUUUAUUUAAUGCAGGUUUUGAACCGUAUUCUUUGAAGGAGACGAUUAUAUUCAAAUAAAUCUGUAUUGACAUAUCAAUAAAAAUGUUUUGUCCAAAUGCACAGAUUGCCACCUUUGAUAAUAGACGACUCAUUUGCAAUUAUUUAGAUUAACUGUGGAAUAUAUUUGCUAUGUUGUGUUUUCUGUAUGAGCAGAUAUAAAUGAAAAUGCCCAAACAUGAUUAUGUUUCUUACAUUUUCAUUAAGUGAUAUCAAUAUGCUUGUGACUGAGUAUAUUAAUAAUUUAUUAAAACUUCAGUGAUAGACAGGAACCCUUAUGGCACUGCUGAAGUUUAUAUGCACUGGUGACCACUUAUCAUGAGCCGGGUUGCGUGCUCGUCUGCUGUUGAGUGCAAUAAAAAUUUUCGAAACCCUUUCUAUUAUUUAGAUGUAAUAUUAAUGUACAUUUAAUUUGGAUUAAAAGAUAAAUUUACAUUUUAUGUUUGCAUGUGUAUGUUUAUAAUUCAUUUGCAUGUAACGAACAUCAGUUUCUUUUGUAACAAAAUGCAAACUAAUGGUUUGUAAUGAAUGUAAUUAACUUUAAUAUGAUUUUCUUUCAAUCUGCUGUUUGUUUCAUCUAGUAUUACCAAAGCUAAAGCAUCAGAAACGUCAGAAUAGAAAUAAUUUAGAUAGGGAAUAAAAGUAUAACUAAUGUAAUCUUGUCUAAAAUUACUAUAAGCGUCAUUAAGUACAAACUAUCAAUAUUUAAGAGUACUUUAAAUCAUCAUUACAUUUUUUAAACAUUUUUUGUUUUUUUUUUUGUUUUUCAAAUUAUGUAACAAAACGUUUGUGCAGAACAAAAUGUCACAUGUUAUGAACAUGAUUGUGGGUUAAUCGUUUCUUAAAAUUUUAAAUAUUUAUAAGAAUGCUAAGAUUAAUUUAGUAUUCAUUUUAGUGUGUGUAUUAUCUCUACAAUGCUAGUUUAAAUGACAAUUAUUGUAUGACGAAGCAUAGGUAGUGUUUAUAGAUGUAAUAUUUUCAUACAAGGUCAUGAUCUGUCACGAUCAACUUUAAGCAAGAACUGCUAUCGUUAAGAAACAAAUUUAUUAAAUUUAAUUCAAAUUGACUACUAUGUUUGUAAUGGAAAGCUGACAUGUUUAUAUUUCGCACAAAUGACUUAAUUGACAUUGAAUGAUUUGAUUAUCUAGACUUAAUUAACUUUUAGAUAACUUUCGAUUUAAUGUGUACGCUAGUAGGAUUAAUCUAGAGGAGUUAUUGUUAUUCGAAAUUUUAUACAAUUGUACGUUCAUACAAUCUGUUAACAUAAAAUUGUUUGUAAUAUAGGGAAAUUAAAUAGCUUACAGAGAAUUACAGCUUUUUAUUUUAAAAAACUGUUUUCUCUCUGUAUGAAAAGGUCUUAUCGAUUAGAAUGCUGAACACAAUCAAACGUUCUUUAAUAUUUCAUAAGUACUACCGGGAAUUUCAGCGAUUCUAAACGAUAAGAUUUUUUCAUAAAGAGAGUUAAUUAUAAAAAAUAUUAAAAUUACUAAAAAAGCCACCUGGUGGGGGGUAGGGAGACUAAUAAUCGACCGUAGCGACGCCUGCUGGACCGGGCUUUAACUAAAGCAAAAAUAAAAAUGAGAGUUGCGCAUCUAUCUCGAAUAUAUUAAGUGUAUAAUCUAUGGCUAAACUCAUGAUUUAUGAUUUCAUUUCAUUACGUAUGAUUUCAAAAAGCAUAUUAUUUCAAAAGCAUAUUCAAAUAGUAUAUUAAAACAAAAUUUUAUACAUUGAACGGAGGUCCACGUGUAUCCAGUUCACUAGUGUUUAUGUCGAAGAGCCACACAGCCCAUCUCAUGUCGAAGAGCCACCAUUGCUCAUGGAUAUCCAAGAUGGCAGAAGCUGAGUCAAGUUGAUAUUUACCAUUGAGAAAUAUUUUCAACGCGCUCGGCUAUGAUGGGCGAUGAUGGUAUCAAAACAUUCGUUUAAAAUGCUGGUACGUGUUUUUGGGAAGUGAUAUUCAGUAAGAAAACUUUUCAUAAACAUUGGUUAACGUAAAUUGAAAGGAAGAUUAAUUAUAAUAAUGAAUUUGUUUUUUAAAUUAAAUUUUAUAUACAUAAUAUGUUUUUAAGAUCAUAAUUUAUGUUGUUACAAUUGUAUUAAAAAUCAUUUCAUUUCGAACUGUAUAUUGCAAAAUGUUGAUAAGAAAAUGGUUUACCGAAAAUUUGACCUUCACAACUGAACUCUAAAUGCAAAUGGUCGUGUGUUUUCCACGUUUUAUCCGAGGGCCAAUACAAAUUCCGGAGGCAUAGGAAGCAGUUGCCUAAAUUUAUUUCGAAAAAAAAAGAACAGCAAAUAAAAAAAACAUUCCGCUCGAUGUAAUCUAUUUGUUGUGGCUGGUUCCGAUUCGUAAGGAUUUUAAGUGAUAAAAAAUAAACGAAUUUGGAAUCUCCUAUAUAAAGGCAAAAACGAAAAACAAUCAUUUGUAGUAUUAAUAAGGGUGCAAUUUCGUAUAAACCCGUCAUACCUUUUGAUAAAGAUCAUUCAUUCUACAUUUAAAAUUAUAUUGAAAGAUUGAAAUAA